UCCGAUGAUGGCAUGAAAUCUUUGAGACCUGAUUGUUUCUUGAUGACAAUUACAAGCAUUAUUUCUGAGGUC